rnacentral:rRNA from 1 species
UACGGAGGGUGCGAGCGUUGUCCGGAAUCACUGGGCGUAAAGCGCGCGUAGGCGGCCCGGUAAGUCCGCUGUGAAAGUCAAAGGCUCAACCUUUGAAUGUCAGCGGAUACUGCCGGGCUAGAGUCCGGAAGAGGCGAGUGGAACUCCUGGUGUAGCGGUGGAAUGCGCAGAUAUCAGGAAGAACACCAACGGCGAAGGCAGCUCGCUGGGACGGAACUGACGCUAAGGCGCGAAAGCGUGGGGAGCGAACAGG